rnacentral:lncRNA from 1 species
UUUAUUGGGUGUAUAAUUUUCCAUUAAUGAUAACAAGCAUGAAAUAAAUUUCAAAUCUAACCUAAUUAUUCAACAAACAUGCACUGUGAACUUAAAUAACAUUAUUAAUUUUUCCAAAAGUAAUUGGUUGAUAUAAUUAUAAGUGUAUUUAUCCAAAAAUACUAAAUUAACUCACAAUUCAAAACCAUGCAGAAGGUUUGCCUAACAUGGAAUCUUUUUAAGAUUUCAUAUCUUCAGUAAACUACUUUUGCAUCAGAAAAAUAGAAAUAAAGGGCAACACUUUUAGAAGACUGACAAUAGAAUGAAAUAAAUGGAGUCAUAAAAAAUGGAGAGAUUGCACUCCUGGAAUCUAUUAUAGAUGACAUGCUUGAAUUAAAGAGCACAGAAAUUCUUUUGACAUCUUUUAAUAAGUAUAACAUUCUCAUUUUCAUGUAUAAUUUAUCAAGUAUGGUUAUAAUGUCACUUGCUCUGGCAAUGGUACUCCCUUUCAAAGUACUUUUUCAAACUAUUGAGUCUAGCUAUUUCAGAUAUGAGAAGAAUAGUGCUACCUUCAAUAAAGUUGAAGAUGACUCUAUCACUGUCACUCCAAACCAUUUAGGUUUCCAAGCUUGAGUAGCUUAAAAUAUUGCAUCCAAUGAUAGAGAUGUCCAAGCCCCACCAUUAUCCCUUUUUACAUUGAAUUUAUACCAAUUACAUCUGCAAUAAAAUAGUUAACCCGAGAAACUUCCAAACACAAAAUAGAAAGUUCAUUUUAGCAAAACAGAAUUAGCAAUUGAUAUCUUUAAAGAUACAUUUUUCAAACUUUACUAAUUACAAGCAUGCUUUCAGGCCACAAAGGUUCAACUAAAUUAUAAUAUCAAUGGAACAUUGUAUUUUCUCUAUGCUAAGUCUAUCAAUGGUUGACAUAAUAAUCAAGUGUUCUUGUCUAUGUUGUGCUUCGGUUCGAGUGAUAUUUAGAAAAUAGUAUAAAUCAUAGGAAUAUCCUACUGUUUUGUCUAUGCUAAUACAUACACAGGGCAUAGAGAAGACAAGGAGUGUAGAAAAUCAAUGAUGAUGCAGUCAUGGACAGUGGGAGAAGGAUUACCUGAAUUGAAAAGAAAGCAAAAUUCCUUUCUGCAUGAGUCAUCUAAGAGUAUAAAUUUUUGGGUCAUGUGAAAUUUUAGGCAAAUUCAAGACUUGUCACCUUUGGGCUUUAGGCCAAUGAAUAAUCUCAAGUUUCGAAUCUGCAAGAAAAUAGUAACUAAAUCAACCCUAGAGUUUUCCAAAACUCUUAGAAUGCAAAACUUUAAGUAACAUGAUUAGCUUGGUCCUCAAUUACCAAUUAAGGACUUGUCUAAUUGUACAUUAAUUGGAAGAUGAAAAAUUUUCAAACUCAGUGAUCUAAGAUUUUUCCAAAUAGAUUGGGAAAAAAUGAUAAAAAUUGAAACUAUUAAAAACAAGAAGAAACAUUGGAUUGCAAACCUGAAAUAUAUUGUAGAUGACAUGCUUGAAUUAAAGAGUAGAAAUCCUUUAUGAAUCAGCCAUCCAUGUCAAUUUUGAGAACAUGUUUCGUUUUGUGUCUCAAACUAUUAAGUUUGAGUACUUUCAGAAAUGAGAAAAAUGAUGCCACAAAUUGUCUUUCAAUGAAAGUAAAAAUGAUCUCAAUACCAUUAAUGCUUUACUCCAUAGCAUUUUUAAUUCAAAAGGUCAAGAAACCUGAAAUAAAGGGUGACCAGAUUGUCAUAUGAUUCAGUAAGAUGCACUCCUGCAAAUUGUUGGUGUUCUACUACAUAUAAUAAUUAGAAAAAUCAAAACUCCAAAAAGAAUAUGAAAGUCUUUAACAAAUUGAAUGGGAAGUAUUAAAUUAACAAUCAAAAGUUUUAACAUGUAAAAAGCAGAUGGAAGGCCAACAACGUAUAUUUCCCCCACCUCCCCCCCCCUUUAUACAUGUUGGUGCUUAUGAGAAUUAGGAAAACAAAAUUUUAAACAAAGUAUUUAAACUCUUAGAAGAUUGAUUGUAAGAUUAUAAAAAAUGAAGCCUUCAAAAACAGGAGAAAUGUUUGAUUACAAACCUAAAACAUAUUGUAGAUGACAUGCUUGAAUUGAAGAGAGCAAGAUCAAUUCAAGAAUCAACCAUCAUUUCUAGUCGGCAUCAAUUGUGGGAACUUGAGAAAUUUCAGGAGGUCAGUCUUUGAGUUUUCCUUUCGGCAUGUUUCUAAGCAUAGACAGUAGGCUCACAACGCAUCUUUUCUGGAAGUGCUUUCAUAUCAGGGCAGUCAACAACUGAAGGCCAAACCAUAGAGAUAGCUUUUGAGGCUUCAAGGGUAGUGAUUAGGAAUCACUUGAGACACACACAUUAGGACACAACAGCUUUGAAUUUUCAAUAGCUUGAGAAAAGUGAGGUGUGGAAUCGCUGCAAAAGACAAUCCUAACUUUCCAGUUACUGAAGGGAAGUGGGAUGUUUCAGCCACAAUGUUAUCUGUUUUUGCUUACAACACUAUCAGGUUUUACUUUGAUGCGACAACAAUUAUAUCUGCAAUAAAAUAGUUCACAUGACAGUUACACGAUCCAUUUAAUAAACAAGAUUACAAAGGUGCACAGAAUUCUUAAUAGAUAGAUUGAAAAAUAAAAGAUGAAGUAGCCAUCAAUAACAGGAAGAAGGGUACCUGAAAUAUAUGGUUGUCAUCAUCCUCAUUCUCUAAUAGAUAAAGUUCUUCUCAAUGGUUGUGGCAUGCUGAAUACGUUGAGACAGAGACAUUGUUCUCUACACAAACAGUUUACAGUCCUCGAGAGAAGGGAGGUGUCACAGUUCCACCUCUGGCAGAGAUAUUUUGAGAUUUCCAUGAAGAGGAGGCCAAUGUGAACUCCAAUCAGCUUUAGUUUCUCACUUAACUUCUUAAUUCUGCUACAUAUGAGUAUCAAUAGAUCAUAACUAAAAACAUAGUACAGAGUUUUUAAUAAAUUGAUUGAAAAAUGAUAAAUGACUAAAGGAUCAAAGCUUAAAAAAAGAGAAAUUGCAAACCCGGAUAAUGAAUAAAUAUUAUGGAUGAGACACAAACUAAAGAGAUCAUAGAUUGGAGAGUAUGGUGGAAGUGAGUUAACUCUUUCCAAAUUGUGUCAAAUUUAAUGGCUUUUCUAAUUGUACAUUGAUUUAAAGAUGCAAACCUUUCAAACUUAUCAUUUUAUCAAACAGUUUGACAGUAAAUAAUAAAAAUCGAAGCUAUUAAAAGCAAGAAGAAACAUUGGAUUGCAAAACUGAAAUAUAUCAUAGAUGAUAUGCUUGAAUCAAAGCACAUAAAUAAUUUAUGAAUCAAUCAUCCAUUACCUUUGAAGCUCAAAUUCUGUAUUGGCCAUCUAGUAUAUAUGAAUUUUUGGGCCAUGAGAAAUCCUUAGACCAAACCAAACUUUUGGCCGUGAUUUUAUGCUGGGGAAUUGAAGAAUGCAGGAAAUGAUUUCAAGAUGGGCCAAGGAAUAAUCACAAACUUCUUAAGUAAAUAAGGUGAAUCUACUAUAAAAUAGUAAUUAAAUCAAGGUCGAUCUUUAAUUAUAAUUUUAUACCGUCAUUAGCAAUUGAAUUGAAGAGCAAAAUUGUCAAACUUUCUCAUUCAAGCAUUUCAUCAUAUGGACAAGGUGCGAACAUUAAUAAUAAAAUCAAUUUCUGCUUUAUAUGCUAAUAUAAUCAACUUUUGCUUUAAAUAAAUUACUUAAAUAGAAUUCAUGUUAUUAUAGGAUAUUGAUUGUAAAAUCAAUAAAAACGAAGGCAUAAAAGAAUGAGAAGAAGGGUACAUUUCAGACCUGAAAUGGCUUUCUGCAUCGGACCCAUACCCAAUCAAUACUAAUGUUUGGGACAUGAGCAAUCUUGGGCCAAUCUUCACCAUUUUCCCUUUGGCAUCUUCUGGAUAAGUGUGGACAGUAGGAGAUUUCGAGUAUGUGGAGGGUUGCGAGGGAACGCAUCUCUUCCUGUAGUGAUGUCAAUUUAGGGCAGUCACAAAUUCCAAGUUGACACGAGGAAAGGUUGCCCAUCAAUAAGUUGUACGGGGACAUGAGCAAUCUUGGGCCAAUCUUCACCAUUUUCCCUUUGACAUCUUUCGAAUAAGUGUGGACAACCAGAGAGUUGGAGUAUGUGGAGGGUAGUGAGGGAACGCAUCUCUUCUGGCAGUGAUGUCAAUUUUGGGCAGUCACAAAUUCGAAGCUGAGUCAGCGAGGAGAGGUUGCCUAUCCAGUGUGGUAAUGUUGCCAAACGAGUGCAGUUCCAAAUUUCGAGAGUUUGCAGAGUGGAAACAUGUUGAUGAAGCUCAUCUGGGAGUGUCAUCAAAUCAUCUAUCCUUUCAAUAGACACAGACUCCAAUGAAGAAGCAGUGGCCAACAAUGACUGCCGUAGUACCUCGUCUCUCACUUUCAUCAAUUUUAGUUCCUUGAGACAAGGUAACGAAGACGCUUGCACGGAUGUGAGCUUAGGGCAAUCGAAGAUCUUCAAACUAGAAAGAAGAGGAGAUGAAUGCAGUUCCAAGGAUGCCAGGUCACCACAAAACCUGAUAUCUAAUCGUGAAAGAAGAGGAGAUUGAGGCAGUCGUAAGGAUGUCAGCUUAGGGCAAUGGUGGAUCUCUAAAAUAGAAAGAAGAGGAGAUGAAUGCAAUUCCAAGGAUGCCAACUCGUCACAAAAGACGACCUCUAAUUGUGAAAGAAGAGGGGAUGAAUGUAAUUCCAAGGAUGCCAACUCAUCACAAAAGUAGAUCUUUAAUUUUGAAAGACAAGGAAGAGAAGGAGGUGGGUGUGUUGGUAAGCCCCUCCUCCACAAUUCCUUUAACUUUGGCAUUCGAUUGACAUUGAGGUUUUCAAGAGAUGGGAAGAAUGGCCCUUCUGAUGAACACUCCAUGUACUCCACCUUUUCUAGAUCAUCAAGCUGUAGAGACUUGAGGUGAGGGAGUCGGACAAAGCAUGGCAGAGUCUGGCAUCUUGAACAUCCUUCCAAAUUAACUGUGGUGAGGUUAGGGAGCAUGCUACUCAACCCACCAUUCAUCAUCCAACUUGGAAACCUAAUUCCCCCGUAACCUUCUAUGCAAAGCUUCUUUAGGUUUCGAUGUGGUUGUAGGCCUUCCAGCACUGACUCAACAUCCUCACUGGACUGAGCUCCUGAGCGCCGCCAGUUUAAUCUCAAGGACUGAAUGUGCUGUUUUCCCCCCAAAUUUGCUUCCCUGGAUUCUAGCACGACAUCCCUCACAUUUUCAAGCCCUUGAAUCCAUAGCCCUCCUCGGAGGUUAUUAAGCUCUUUCAAUUCACUCAGUCUACCGGCUCUUCUCACAUUUCCAACAGCAAAUACUGGUAGGCUUUGAAGCGAAGUCAGCUCUCCUAUUCCACAUGGCAUAUGACCCAAAGCAUGACAGUCAUCAUUUUCCAAGUGUCUAAGAUUGAUCAAUUCUAUUGUAUCUUCGGGAAAUUUUAUUAACUUAUAGCAUCCAACAAGCUUUAAUGUUUGCAAAUUCUUUAAUCUUGUAAUACUAUUUGGGAGUACUUCAAAUGCAUUGUACGAAAGAUCAAGAUAUCUUAGAUUACUUAAUUUGCCCAGAGAUUUUGGUACCUUAUAUACAAUGAAAUUAUUUAAGCUCAACACACGUAAAUGCUUAAAACUUGAAAAAUCUGUACUUUGAAUUGAAUCAAAUAGAUAUUCUUUAUAUGUUAUAAUGCUUAAAAAGGUCCUUAUGUGUUUUACCUUCAAAGCCUUCAACUUGAGAUUCAUUGAUUUAAACAACGAUAUAUGAUGAACUUCUUUUGAGAUCUCCUUCACAUCAUCUUCUAAAAUAAGGGACCCUAUAACUAAUUGUGCAAGGGCAUGGAUGAGAUCAUGCAUUUUGCAACUCAAUAUAUUAUUAGAAUCAUCUUUUCCAAACUCCUCCAACAAUGAUCUUGACAAUAAUUCCUCAAAAUAUUGAUGCCCUACAUUCUCAUCUAAAGGUUGAAUAUAACCCUGUGCCAUCCAUAAUUGCACCAACAUGUUUUUCUCAAUUUCAUAGUCUUUUGGAAAUAACGCACAGUAAGUAAAACAUGGCUUCAAAUAGAUUGGCAAAUCAUUGUAGCUUAACUUCAACACCGAUAAAACAUUAUCAUUUCCAGCUCCUAGUGAUAGCAAAUUUCUAUUAUUUUUUAUGGACAGCCAAUGACUUUCUUCUGUUUUCAGGCGCAAUAUUGUUCCCAAUGUUUUGAUGACAAGCGGAACUCCCUUACACAUAUUUACAAUUUCUUUUCCCAUUUCCACCAACUUUGGAUGCACUUUCUCUGGUUCUUCUGUGAAUGCUAUUUUUGAAAAUAAAUCCCAAGCCAGGCUGUCUUUCAACCCUUCCAAAAAAAAGGGAGAAUUAAUUCCCAUUAUUGAUGCGACUUUACUAUGUCGGGUGGUCACCAAAAUUUUACUCCCCUUUCCAACAACCAUCAACAAACUUUUCAAUUGAUCCCAUUUUUCAGGAUUUUCAUUCCAAACAUCGUCCAGUACUAGCAAGCAUCUCUUUUGACUAAUGUUUUCAUGAAGGAGAUUUUUUAAACCAUUCAACUCCAACCUUUCUACAUCUUGGUUACACACUUCUUUUAAGAUUUUUUUAACCAACGACUUCACAUCAAAAUGAUCAGAAACACAAACCCAUAUUCUAGGCUCAAAACAUUGCACCACUUUCUCAGCAUUGUACACCAACUGGGCAAGGGUGGUCUUACCCACCCCCCCAAUCCCAACAAUCGCAACCAUGGAAGGAAUUUCUUGAUUAUCAGAUGACACCAACGACUUUAUUAUCUCCUCUUUGUUUUCUUCUCUUCCCACAAUUUUAGAGGUCAACACAAAUGAGUGAGUCUCUCUCCAACUACUCUCCACCUCCCUCUGAACUAUGUUCCCUUGAACAAGUUUUAGCAGAUUCAUUUCUUUUACAAUUUCAUCAACCUCUUCUUUGAUAUUCUUGACCCUACUACUCAUCUUAAAACUAAAUACGAGUUGAUUCGAAGAUGAGAAGAAGUCACUGACCUGCCUUGCUACUCCCCCACGCUGCAGCUGAUGGGUUGCAAAGUCAUCCAACAAGUCAUCAGCAUCAUACACGACAUCUUUGAGCCUCCUCACCCAAGUUUUUACUGCAUGGCUUUUCUCCUGCUUCUCCUCAGCAUCAAGAAGUACACCCCUGAUAGCGUCCAGUUUCUCCGUAAGCUUCGUUAACUCUUUUGCCACACCAAACGCAGAUCCAAUUUGUUGAAUAGCCGAGGAGCCUAACUUGGUUAAAACGUCAGCCAUAAUAUCGAAUGGGAUUUGUUCAGCCAUUUUUUGAAGAGCUGAAACAGCAGGAAGACCAAGAAAGUAUGGUAAGAGAAGGAGAAGUUGAGAGACUUGUAAGAGAGAAUACCACCAGACAAGUAGUGAUGAUAUACACACAGCUAGUGAGAGGAUUCUUGAAAUAAGUACGAAAGUGGAUGCUUUUAGUAGAAUAGAGGGGUUUAUAAAGCAAGGUGGUUUACAAAAUGAGAAUGACACCAUCCUCAAAGAAAUAGUAAGUUAUUUUUUGAGGGCAGGUGGAAGGAACUAUUUUUAAGAAAAUUGGACAUUUUAUCACACGUAUAUAUGUAAACAAUUGACGGAGAUAAAAUUUGAAACAAAACCUUUGUUCACAACUAUUUAUUAUAUAGAAAAAGCUCAAAUAAAUUGAUGAUUUUAUAUCUUAGGCAUUUUAAAGCAAGUAGCUUAUAUAGAAAAUCUUAUAGAGAUUACUUAUAAGUCCAUGUUCAAAGCAUUGGAAUAAAAAAUGGGAAUGUAAAAUUAAUUUUAUUUUAUUUUAUUAAUUAAUGUCUUUAGAUUAUUUUUAAAAUAAAUAUAAAAAUAAAAAUUUAAAUUUUACUUUUAUUGAUAUUUUAAUUUUCAUUUAUAUAUGAUAUUAUAAUUGGUCUUCAUUCUUGUUUUUCUUUCAAUGCGAAAUGUUAAUUGAAUAUCACACCAAAUGUUAAUUGACCCUUGUUUCAUUCACAAUCAAAAUAUGAAAAAAUAAAAUAAAUAUUGGUGAUUGAAUUUUAUGAAUGAAAUUUAAUUAAAAACUUAUGAAAUAUUAAAAAUAUUUCCAAAAAUAAGCAAUACAGUAAUAUAUGAUAAACCACAUAAGAUUAUGUCCAAUUAAAUCAAAUAAUAAACAAUUUGAAUUAAUACUCAAAUUGAACCAUAAUCAUAAUUUAUAGUAAUAUUAAUUUGGUGACAUACCUUAAGUAGUGGUUGAGGUUGAUUUGUAAUAAAUCUGCAGCUUCAACACAAGCCUCAAAAUUAUAAAGUUUUGAGAGAAAUGAGAAAAAAAUUUGAUGCAAUAAUUAAUACGAGAUGGGGAAAGCUUUCAAGUGGAAUGGAGAGGAAAUGGAAUAGAGAAGAAGCAUUUAUGCUGGGAAUCAAAAUAGCCGUGUUGGGAAAUGUUUUUGACUGUUGAGAUCGAAAUCCAACCGUUGGAUUAUGAAAUUGCCACCGGAAAAAACGUUUCUGACCAUUGGAUGACAUCAUGGAUCAUUUCAGCCGUUGGAUGGGAAGACGGGUGUGAGGAGGGGGCCCCAACUUCUCCUUUGCGUGUAAUUGUGGGUUGGGAAUUGGGGAAAGCGUGUGCAUGUCAGCAUUAAGAUGCCAAACUGACAUUUCAUCACAUUAAUUUUUAUUUUUUAAUGCUUUGAAAUUAUAAUAAAGUAUUCGAAGGACACCUAUUGAAAUAAUGAAAAGACAAAGAUAGGAAUCUGACAAAGCAAAGUGAUAUAAGGCAGCAUAUGAGAUCAAAGUAACGUGAACAUAUACAAAAAAAGGUAAAGCAUCAAGUGGAGAAUAUGGAGGUGAAUAGAUGCAUUCCAUUCAACAUCAAGUGGAGUAGGAAACUACCUCAAAUCACUUCCCAAAGAUCCUUUAAAGGAAUAAACUGAAUAUGGGUGAUAAGAUAGGCGUUCAGUUGCUCCAGAAUUGGAUAUAUCAAAUUUUUUUAAAAAUGUAUCAAAUUUUAUAAAAGAUGUACUAGAAUUUUUAAAGAAUAUACCAAAUUUUGUAAAUGAUGUACCAUAAUUUCCAAAGUCCGUUUCAAGGUGGGGAAUGACCUUCAAUCACUUUUCGAGGGUCUUUAAAGGAAGAAAUGGAUCAUGGGAAGGGGAGAUAGGUGUCUUGUUAGCUCAAGGAAUUGAUGUAUCAAAUUUUUUAAAGAAUGUACUUAGGGUUUCAAAGUCCAUUUCAAAGCAGGGAACAACCUUUAAUCAUUUCUCAAUGGUCCCUAAAGGAAUAAACAGACCAUGGAUAAUAACAUAAGGGUCCUAGUAGCUCAAGGAUUUGAUGUAUCAAAAUUUUUUCGGGAUAUACCAAAUUUUGUGAAGUAUGUACUAAAUUUUGUAAAAGAUGUACAAAAUUUUGUAAAUGAUGUACCAAGGAAGGACCUCCAAUCACUUCAUGAAGGUCUCCAAAUGAAGAAAUGAAUCAUGAAAGGGGAGAUAGGUGUCCCAUUAUCUCAAGGAUUGGAUGUAUUAAUUUUUUUAAAGGAUGUACCUAGGGUUCCCAACUCCGUUUUGGAGUGAGGAACGACUUCCAAUCACUUUCCAAAGAUCCCUAAAGAAAUAAACGGACCAUGGGUAAUAAGUUAGGGGUCCUGGUAGCUCAAGGAUUGGAUGUACCAAAUUUUUUUAAGGAUGUACUAAAUUUUGUAAAGGAUGUACCAAGGGGACCAAAGUCCAUUCCAAAGUGGGGACUGACAUCCAAUCACUUCUUAAGUGUGUCCAAAGGAAUAAAUGGACCAUGGAAAGGAAGAUAGGUGUCCCGUUAGCUCGAGGAUUAUAAAUAUCAAAUUUUCUUAAAGAUGUACCUAGGGUUCCAAAAUCUGUUUUGGAGUAUGAAAUGACUUCCAAUCACUUUCCAAAUAUUCCUAAAGGAAUGAACAGACCAUGGGUAAUAAGAUAGGGUUCCUCGUAACUCAAGGAUUGGAUGUAUCAAAUUUUAUGAAGGAUGUACCAAAUUUUGUAAAUGAUGUACCAAAUUUUGUAAAAGAUGUACCAAAGUUGCCAAAGUUCGUUUUGAGGUAGAGAACAACCUCUAAUCACUUCCCGAGGGUCUCUAAAGGAAGAAGUAGACCAUGGGAAAAGGGAUAGGUAUCCCGUUAGCUCAAGGAUUAGAUGUAUCAAAUUUUCUCAAGGAUGUACCUAAGGUUCCAAAGUCUGUUUCCGAGUAGGGAACGACCUCCAAUCACUUUCCAAAGAUCCGUAAAGGAAUAAACGGAUCAUGGUUAAUAAGAUAGGGGUCCCAGUAGCUCAAGGAUUGAAUGUAUCAAUUUUUUUUAAGGAUGUACCAAAUUUUGUGAAGGAUAUACCAAAUUUUAUGAAGGAUGUACCAAAUUUUGUAAAGAAUCUACUAAGGGGGCCAAAGUUCGUUCUGAAGUGGGUAACGACCUCCAAUCACUUCCUAAGACUGUCCAAAGGAAUAAAUGGAUCAUGGGAAGGAAGAUAGGUGUCCCAUUAACUCAAGGAUUAGAUGUAUCAAAUUUUCUGAAGGAUGUACCUAGGGUUCCAAAGUUUGUUUUUGAGUAGGGAACGACCUCCAAUCACUUUCCAAUGAUCCUUAAAUGAAUGAAUAGACCAUAUGUAAUAAGAUAGGGGUCCUGGUAGCUCAAGAAUUGGAUGUACCAAAUUUUUUUAAGGAUAUAUCAAGGUUGCCAAAGUUUGUUUUAAGGUGGAGAAUGACCUCCAAUCACUUCAUAAGGGUCUCCAAAUGAAGAAAUGGACCAUGGGAAGGGAGAUAGGUGUCCUGUUAGCUCAAGGAUUGGAUAUAUCAAAUUUUCUCAGGGAUGUACCUAGGGUUCCAAAGUCUGUUUUGAAGUAGGGAAUGACCUUCAAUCACUUCCCAAAGAUCCUUAAAGGAAUAAACGAACCAUGGUAAUAAGAUAAAGGUUUCGAUAGCUCAAGAAUUGAAUGUACCAAAUAUUUUUAAGGAUGUACCAACUUUUGUGAAGGAUGUACCAAAUUUUGUAAAUGAUGUAUCAAAUUUUGUAAAGAAUAUACCAAGAGUGCCAAUGUUAGUUCCAAGGUGGGAAAUGACCUCUAAUCAUGACCUGAGGCUCCUCAAAUGAUAAUAUAGACCAUGGGAAGAUAGAUAGGGGGUUUCAAUAGCUCGAGGAUUGGAUGUACCAAAAUUUCUUAACGAUGUACCAAAUUUCCUUAAGGAUGUACUUAGAGUUUCGGGGUAAGGAACGACCUUUAAUUACUUCCUAAAGAUCCUUAAAAAAAUAAACGAACCAUGGGUAAUAAUAUAGAGGUCCUGGUAGCUCAUGGAUCGAAUGUACCAAAUUGUUUUAAGGAUGUGCCAAAUUUUGUGAAAGAUGUACUGAAUUUUGUAAAUGAUGUACCAAAUUAUCUUUAGGAUGUACCUUGGGUUCCAAUGUUCGUUCUAGGAUGGGGAACAACCUCCAAUUCCUUCUUGAGGGUCCCCAAAAGAAUAUAUAAACCAUGAGAAUGGAGAUAGGGGUCUUGGUUUCUCUAAAAUUGAAUAUACCUAAGAUUCCAAAGUUUGUUUUGGGGUGGGUGAGGACCUCCAAUUACUUUUCGAGGGUCCCAAAUGAAUAUAUACACCAUGAUAAGUAUGAUAGUGGUUUCAGUUCCCUUAAGCAUGAAUUUAUCUUUUUUUUUUUUUUUUUUUUAAGAAUGUACCUAUUUUUUUUUAUGAAAUUAAUAUAAAAGGUUAAAUAUAAUUUAUUUUUUUUAUGAAAAAUAUAUUUUAUUUUAAUUAAAAAUUAAAUAUUUUAACUAAACAAAAAGUUAGAUCCACAAUCAAACUAAAAUCAUAAGAAAAAUGAUAAAAGCACCAUCACUUAUUGUGAUUUUGAUAUGAUAAAUUUAAAAUGAAAAUUAAAAGAAAAAUAAUGUAAAUAAUAAAAUAGUAUUACAAAGAUAUUUUUUACUUUUAUAUGUGAUAGAAUUUACAAAAUAAAUAAAUCUUUUGUUUAGUAUUAAUAUAAAAAAUCUUAUAUCAUAAACUUCUAAAUAAUAAAAUAGAAUUAUUUCAUGAAUUUUUUAAUUUUUAAAAAUAAUUUUGAAUUCAAAAAACCAAUCUAAUUAAUUACAUAUAAAAUCAAAACAUUUUAUAAUAUUAUGUUCAUAAUUCAAUUCUACAUGAGUACAUGGAAUGAAAAUUUUGACUCAUUUUUAAAAAAUUAAACUUUAUUAAUUAUUCAAUUUAAAUAAAAUAUUAUGAAAAAUUAUUACUUUAAAUAUUAAUUAUUAAUUUUUAACCCAAAAAAUGAUGAAGAUGUUAAUAUUUUUCUGUUUCUAACAUAUACUAAAAUAGUAUUUUUUUUUUAUAAAAAUAAAAUAAAAUUAACCUAUGAUUUUAUUAUAAUAUCAUAUAUAAGUAAAAAAUUAUAAGUACUCUUUUGUAAUAGAUACUAAACCUUUGUUUAGGUUAUAUUUGAUUCCCAAAAAUUUAUUAAGAAAAUUAAUUUAUUUUUUUCACUAUUUUUAUCAUAAAAAAUAUAAAAGAGAAUCAACUGCAAUUAAAAAUUAGUUAAACAUUUAUAUAUUUUUAAAUUAUAUAAUCUUUAUAUAAAAAUAAAUAAAUAAAUAAAAUGAAUUAAAAGAGCCAUAAAAAAAUAAUUUAUUAACCUUAAAUUUGUUUAGUUUUCUUUUUUUUCCUCUAAUAUUCAUAAACCAAAUAUAGCAUUAGUAAAUGACUUAUUUAAUUAAAAAGGUUAUUGAAAACCCAAUUUUGUAAAUCUAACCCUUCAUUAUUUUUUUGACAUCAUUUUAAAAAAACACUCUCAUUUUUUCCUUAUAAAAAUAAUUAUUUCUUUUAAAGCAUUCAUGUAAAUACUUAAAAUAAUCAAGGGUAUUUAUAUAUAAAAAAAAUGAGUUACUCUUCAAAUAUAAGGAUUAUUUUCAUCAUUUUUAACUAAUUAGGUUUUAAUAAAUUGAGUUACUCUUCAAGUAUAAGGACCGUAUAAAAUUUUGUAUAAUGGUACAAAAUAUAAUGUACAAGAAAUUGUAUUGAAUACUUUAAAAAUAUCACUCAAUUUUCUAUUAGUAUAAAUAAAUUUACAUUAUAUUAGUGACAAAAAAUUUCCCUAUUACUCAAUUACAUUAAUACUAUAUUGCAAAAUUAAAUUACAAUAGAAAAUUAAUAAUUAUUGAAUUUUUUUUUCAAAUAAUCAUAAAUGAUUUAAUAAUACGGAAUGAAGGGUAUGUAUUUACAUGGUCAAUUACAUUUAUAUUUGAAUCAAUCUUACUUCAUUAUAUCAUGUAGAUUUUUUUUUAUAUAAUAUUUUACAAUUAAAUUACAAUAGGAAAUCAAUAAUUAUCAAAACAAACUUUUUUAAAAGAAUUUUUUUAUAAAAAUAUUCAUUUAUUUAACUAUUAUUUAUUUUAAUUAAAAAAACAUAUAAAUAAGUGGAAACAAAAGAUGAUGAACUUAGGUGAGAUCGUGUUUAUUGCUUUUUUUUAAUACAAUUUAUUUUUAUAUGGUAACAAUAUGAAACAUAUAAGUGAGUGAAAAAUUGAAUAUUAUAAUUUUUAUAUAAAUGUGUUUAUAUAUAUUUAAUUUGAAAAGUAAAUUUUUUUCAUUUUAUACAUGGUUAGGUUAAAAUUUCAAAAUGGCUUUAAAAGAUGAUAUUGGUUGGGAGCAUGCAGAACCUAUUGGUGAUAGUAGAAGAACCACAAAGUGUAAAUAUUGUAGGAAAGUUAUACAUGGUGGUAUAACAAGAUUAAAGCAACACAUCGCACAUAUCUCUGAACAAGUGGAAGGAUGUCCACAUGUACCGGUAGAAGUGUCACAUAGUCUUAGACAACAUAUGUCUAAUACUUCAAAAGAAAAAGCACAGUUAAGGAAAAAAAAGAACGACUUUUGAAUUCCUUAAAUAGAGAAAAUUUCUAUGAAAUUGAUGAGGGUGAUUCUGAUGAUGAAAUUGAGGAAGUUGCUAUGACUAAUUUUGAAAGGAGACAAAUGAAACAAGCAAUGAAAGAAAAUCGUCGAAUUUUUGAAGAAGGUGGACAAGAGCAUCAGAAGGGUGGUAGUUCCUCACAAUCUUCUAAUGUUAGGAUUAAGCACGGACUGACACGUAGCUUCAGUGUAAGAGAAGGAGCUAGCAUACCUCCAAAAGGAAUUGAUCCUUACAUGUUCCCAUCAAAGCAGAAAUCAAUAAAAAGCUUGUUUUCUACUGAAGGCGUGAAGAAAGUGGGUAAAGCUAUUUCUAAAUUAUUUCUCUUUAAUGCAAUAGCCUUUAAUGCAGCUGACAGUGGGCCUUACUAUCAAUCAAUGAUUGAUACCAUAACAGAAGCAGGUCCAGGCAUCAAGGGUCUCACGGGAUACCAAAUUGGAAAUACAUAUUUGGAAGAGGGGUGGUAAGAGCUUGAGGUAUACAUAACAACAUUGAAGGCUAAAUGGCCUAUAUAUGGGUGCACAAUCAUGUGUGAUGGUUGGAGUUCUAGGACUAGAAAGUCUAUCAUCAAUUUCAUGAUUUAUUGUGAUAGAAGUAUGAUAUACCAUUCUUCAGUUGACACUACCAACAUACCUAAGACAGCAGACUACAUCUUUUCCCUUAUGGAUAAAGUUGUAGAGGAGGUUGGGGAGGAAAAUGUUGUUCAAGUAGUCACUGAUAAUAAGGCAAGUUUUAAAGCAGCCGGUAUGUUGUUGAUGAAAAAGCGGAAGCAUUUGUCUUGGUUUCCUUGUGCAACCCAUUGUAUUGAUUUAAUGCUUGAAGAUAUUGGAAGCAUGAAGCAAAUUAAGGAGACAUUAGAUCAAGCUAAGAUGAUCACAUAUUUAUUUAUAAUAGCUUGAAAGUGGUGAAUUUGAUGAAAGUGUUCACCAAGGAUAGAGAUCCGUUAAGGCCAGGAAUAACCCGUUUUGCCACUGAAUUCAUUUCACUUGAGAGUCUUAUACGUUAUGAGGCUGAUUUGAAGAGAAUGUGCACAACAAAUGAGUGACAUGAAUUUAAUAAAGAUAGGAGCAGAAAAAGUCUAAGAGAUAAGGUAUUCAACCUUAUCUUAACUGAUCGAUUUUGGAAGAAAGCAGGGAAAGUUCAAACCAUCAUGGAAAAGUAUUGAAAUUGGUUGAUCAAGAUAAAAAACUCACACUAUCAAUCAUUUAUGAAGCAAUUGAUAGAGCUAAAUUGGUUAUCAAGGCAUCAGUUAAGCAAUGGGAAAAGUAUUGGGAAGUCAUUGAUAGAAGGUGGGAAGGUCAAUAGCACAAACAUUUGCAUGCUGCAGGUAAUAAAAAAAUUCUUUAUAUAUUUUUUAUUAUUUUUUUCAAGUACAAAUUAUUAUAAACUGAUUAUUAUUUAACUUAUGGCAGAUUAUUUUUUAAAUCCAAUGUUCCAAUAUUCAAAGCAUUUCUCCAACCAUCCGGAAAUUAAAAUUGGAUUAAAGAAGGUUAACAAGAGAUUAGAGCCAGAUUUGGAUAGACAAGCAAAAAAAACUAGAUAACAACUUGAAUAAUCAAAAAAUAUUUUUUAUUCUAAAAAAUAUAAAAUAUAAAAUUUUCAGACAAUAUUUUUUAAUUGAUUUUACUUUUUUUUUUUAAGAAUUGUUUUAAAAAAUAAUUAUAUAAAUUUACAUAAUAAUUAAAAAUAAAGAUUUAGAUAUAAAAAUUAUUUUUAAAACAUAUUUAAAAAUGAGUUAAAAAUAUUUUAACUUCUCAAACAUAUUUUUAUUCCAAAAAAAAACAAUAGUUUUAAAAUAUUGUUCUUAAAAAUAAUUUUUUAGAACUGUUUUUAAAAACGAUUGCCAAAAGACUUAAGUUUAUCAAAGCUCCUUUUAUUAUUAUUAUUAUUAUUAUUAUUAUUAUUUGACAUAUAUUGAUGACAUUAUGAUAAAAAAAUUAUUUAUUUUAAAAAUAUUUAGUAAAAUAUGAUAAUUUUAACAUAAUUUCCUAACCUACAUUUAAAAAAAAAAUUAGCAUCUUAAAAGCAAUUUCCAAAUUCAACUGGAAAUACAACUUUCAAAUGAAAUUUUCAAUUAUUAUAUUUUAAAAAUAAUUUUUAAAAUUAUUGUAUUUUUUUAAAUCUCAUAUAUUAACAACCAUUUAAAAUAUAAGUAAAUAUAAAUUCUUGUACAAAAGACUAUGAUUCCUGACCAUAAAUAAGGCUAAUUAUCAAGAAAAUGAUCAUUAAAUAUUAUGAGGAUGGAAAAUUAAGUGAAUAAAAACAAGAAUAUAUCCAAAAAAGAACAUUAGCUUUGCAAACACAAAAACGUGGAGUGGUUGAAUUCUUGUGGAGUGGUCCAAAUAUAUUAUGGAUUCUCUCCACCUUUUUCAAGGAAAAAAAAUAUUUGGGUUGAAUUAUGGAUUUAGGUAGUUUUCCUUUUCUUUUUCUUUUUUCAUUUCAAGGAGAAGUAGUAAAAUUCUUACAUUUUAAUUAUUAUUUGAGUAAAAAAAAUAGCUUCUAAAUUCGUGACAAGACCUUUAAAAAUAUUUUAAAAAUUGCCUAUAAGUUUGAAUACUCUAAAUAAUUAUAGAAUUAACAAAAAAUAUUGAUGGAUAGAAAUUUUAUAAAUUUUUUAUUUUUAUUUUUCAAGAUAAAAAUAAAAUGAAUAUAAAUUAAUAAUAAAAACAAUAUAUUAUCAUAUGAUACUAAGAAAUUGUUUUGGGUUUCCAUUUAAUUUUGUAACAUUAUCCUGUUGAUGACAUGUAACGGUCAAUACUUACGAUGGCUCAGGCCAGCUUUAUUUGGGAUGGCCUACAUAUCCCAAAUAUCACAAAAUGAUUGAAAUUUUGAAAUUUCACAUGCCAGGUACCCACAUGACUUAUAAUUGAAAUUUCACAAAACGAUUUAUCAGAAGAACACAUUAACAUAUCCCAUUAAAGCUUCAUGAAAUAUAUUUCAAACGUAACUACAUGAAUCACACUCACAGACCAUGGAAAACAUUUAUCACACGAGAAGUUUUUAGAAUGGUGAUUAAUUUUGCUUCUGAAACAAUCCAGGAACUAGAGAAGGAGGUGUCAUUGGACAGUUAUGAAUAGCAAGCCUCGAUGUUAACUUUUCACAUUGAUGUGCCCUAUUCGAGUCUCUCUAUUGGUGCUACACAUGUCAUGGCAUUGCGUCCAUGGCUCACCAAGUCAUCUCCUUGCACAAGACAUUGAGUCCUUGUGCCACCUUGUUAUUGUCCAUGUCAAGGCUAACAAAGUCAAAUCCAUGUGAACCUACAAGAAACACCUGUAGUAUAAAUGUGAAUAGAACAUAUCAGAUAAGUAUCUUUGUUGAAAUACUUUUGGUGACAUAGUUUCCAUUACUACUUUCUCCUAUCGACAUAAUUUUUUUUUAGACAAUUAUACUUAGACUCUGUUUGACAUUGAAUUUAGGACGUGUUUUUAGUCUAGAAGUGUUUUUGAAAAAAAAGAAAAAUUAGGUGUUUUACAAAAUUUAAGAAACACUUUUAAAAAUCUGAAAAAUCACUUAUAGUAUUUUUUUGGAAAAACACUUUAUAUGUGAUUUUUAUAAAAAUACUUUCAAGGAAAAUACUUCCACUAGAAAUACUUUAAGUAGCAACACUGCCAAACACGCUCUUUUUCCAAUUUAUUAAAAUAAUAUAGCAGUGCCCAAAUAUGAAGAAGAGGAUGCUAAUUUAGCAAUAGAUGCUCAAAAAUAAAUUUUAAACAUUUUACAAUUCAUCAAAAUUUCAGAAAUACAUGGACUUACAGAAAGGCUCUUCAUGAAAAGAUACUCCACAUCCUCUACAGAAAGUUUGGCGCCCUCUGCAAUGAUAUUCAAUGGAAUGGUACCAUCUUCUGAAGGACGGCUGCAAGAUACAAUAUCUCAGUUGAAUUCAGCAAUAACUUUAUGAAUCUUGCCCAGCAAAUCACAAGUGAAAUGAUAUUGUUAACAUACCUGAAGAUGAUUUCCAUCAACCUUUGUCCCCAGCCCCAGGAGACUUUUCAUCCGUAGGAGUUGGUAAAACAUGUUAUUGCUCCAAUGUGGUGCCCUCUUUGUUACCUUUAAAGCUUUUUAACAAAGACAUUGUGCAGUUCUCUUUUUGUAAAGUUUACCUGGAAACAAUCAAUGAAAGAAUAUCAGAUAUUGUGGAAACACCUUCAUAAUGGAAGAGCAGUGACAGAAUAAGCAGCAAGGCAUUUCAAAAUACGAUGCUGAAAUUUGAGACUAUAAGAAUUGAAAAACAAAUGGCAUUAUAUAGCAGAAAAUACAUUCUUCAGAAAGUUAAAAGAUUACUAGAUGACGUGAUAUUUACAGCAUCUGCCACAGGCCCAUCUCCAUGGAAACAUUGACAUGAGCAAUUGGACCAACUGAAACUUAUCAAAUAUAAAAUAUUAACCAAGUUGCUAAACCAAAGGUUUAAUGCUAAACCAAGUUGCUCGAGCCAAUACUGCACUAACACAAAUAUCCAUACCUAGUCAGCAGCAAUUCUAUUUACUGGUCUGGCAAGAGUAGCUCAAGAUUUCAAACUUCUUUUAGAUGAUGGUGCAUCCAAAUUGACAACAAUAAAGAACAGAAACUAAAAAAAUGAGUGAUCUAAUUAUUUGCACCGGAAUUCAAGUAUAUACCCAUUGUGGGCUAUACUGAGAUCCACAUAUUAUAUGAUUCUAACUUCUCAUUAGGGAGAACCUCGACCACUUCAUGAAAGUUUUAAGAAAGUGACAUUCAAAACAUUUGGCAUGGCUUACUAAGUAGUAAAUUACAGAUUUCCCCUUAUGCCUAGUCCCAAUGUGUUGGAAUGAUGAAAUUUUCCAGGUUCUAUUACAAAUUUAGUGCAAUUUUUUACUCUGCCAAAAAGUUUCAGCUACAAACAAUUUGAAACGCUUUAAUGAAUAUUCAUUCACAAAAGUCUCCUAUCGUAAUCUUUCAAAAUACAUGAAAGGAAAUGAUGCAGAACCAUCAAACCCUCAGACUAGGUCUAGAAUAAGCAUCUAUAACUGAACUUGCAUACAACAGGAUAGUAUAACAACUUCAAAAACUAGGUUUCAGAGAACUGCCAUCUAAAAAAUAUUUUAAAGAUGGGCAUAUCUUGAUUAAUCAUAAUGGCUAGUAUCAGAAAAAAGAAAAACCAAUUAAACAAAAAAAGAGGCUAGCUAAACGAAUCAAUAUAGCUUGCCAUUGCAAAGGUCUAUCAUGGAUGAAAUUGCAAGCUGCCACAUGAACCACAAAAGACAAGUACCCGUUUGACAGAUUUUAGAAUUUUCUUGACACACAAUUUGACAAUGAAUUUCUUUUGGUCAUAAAUCAAUUCUUUGGGCCAUAGGACUGACAUGUUCUCAGUAGAAUGUGAAGAAUAUGCACAACUAUAUUACAUGAAGGUGAAUUGAACUUACUUUCCAACAACGCAGGGAAUGCCCUUCCUUGAAUUGGCAGGGAUUUCGCCUUGAAACCCAGGAAUAAUUUAUGUCAUUUCCUGGACAAUUUUGGGAUCCUUACUGUAAUAACUAAGUUAUAAUAAAUGACAAGUAAAUCAUAAUAUCAAUGAACUACUCUAUCACUGCCAGAAAUUUUUUUAUUUACAUGAUCCAUUAAUUAACAAAAUUAUAUAUGAGUAUAACACUUUCAACAGAUCAAGAGUGAAAUCAAUCAUGAUGCAGCCACCAAUAAUGGGAGGAGGAUUACCUGAAAUAUAUGUAUUGUUCACAUUUGAAUUAAAACGGAAGCAAAUGUCCUUUCUGCUUUAGCCAUCUAAUAGAUAUGAAUUUGUAGGCAAUGUAAAAUCUUUAGGCCAAUCCAAAACCUAUUUCCUUCUGGCAUCCCUUUGGGCAUUAGGCCAACUUAAGCUUCUUAAAGCAAGUAAAAUCUGUGACAAACGAUAUUUAUAUGAGAGUUUGGUAUUUCCUCGAACUUUUAGAAUGCAGAACUCCAAGUAAAAUGAUAUUAAUUUAGUAAACUGCAUCAGCAUAUGGUUUGAAGAUGGAAAAAAUUUCCAAACUGACUCAUUUGAGCAUUUUGACAAAUAUAUGAGGAGCAUAUAAAUUUUGAAUACCAGGACAAAACGGAAAUAGAGAAUUUUGAAUGUAAGAUAAUAGAAACUAAAGAAAAGUUAGGAUUUCUGACCUGACAUGGAAUCCAAUUUCAUUCAUUCUUUCAUAGAUGAAAUCUAUUUGUGGCCGGUCUUCAACAGUUUCCUCUUGGCCACUUUUUUCUAAGUUCGAACAAUCAGAGACAACAGCUUUCUGUAGGCUGUUGAGGGAAGGCAUCUUUUCCGGCAGUGAUGUCAAUUCGGAACAUUUAUAUAUUUUAAGCAUUCUGAGUGAGGAGAAUCUGCCUAUCCAGUGUGGGAAUGCUGUAAAAUUGGGGCAGUUCCAAAUGUUGAGAGUUUGGAGGGUGGAAACAUGUUGGAAGCAGCUCAUCUGGGAGAGUUCUCAUAUCAUCCACGACUGCAAUAGAUAGAGACUCCAAUGAAGAAGCAGUGAUGAACAUUCCAGGUAAUAGCUCUUCCUUCACCCCGAGCAGCUUUAGAGCCUUAAGACAGGUUAACGAAGCUACUUUCAAGGAUGUUAGCUUGGGGCUAACCCAGAUCUCCAAACUAGAAAGAAAAGGAGAUGAAUGCAGCUCUUGGGGAUGCUAACUUUUAGAAUAAAAGAGUAUCAUUUAUAUUUCGAUAGAAAAAAUAAAAUUAGAAAAUAAAUUAAAUUAGUUUGAGAUCAGGAGUGUGGAGCUCUAUUGAAAAGUAUGCAAAGGACCAAUAUCAUGCCAUUAUAAUUAAAGCAACAUUAAAAAUUAUAUAAAAAAUUUUCCCAUAAGGUUUUCAACUAAACAAAAUUAUAUAAUGUAAUUCUUGUAUUAAUUUUUGUACCAACAUAUUAUUAUUUUUAAGUUACACUCUUGAAAUAAUAUUUUCGAAAACAUUUAUUUACUCAAAAAUAAAAAUUUUCAUUCUAGAAUCAAACACGCUUCUUUUACCUCUAAUAUAGAUACAACAAAUAUAAAAAGAAAAUUAAGAGUAUUUUUUUGACAAUACUUCUACUUGAAGUGUUUCUCUUAAAAAUGUCCAAAAAAUACUAUAAGUAUUUUUUUAACAUUAUAAUAAAUUAUUUUUCAUAUUUUUAAAAGUAUUUCCUAAAAUUUAUUAAACACUUAAUUAGUUUUCAAAAACACUUUUUAGGUUGAAAGUACUUUCUUAAAUCAUGACGGAACUGACUCUAAAUUUUUAAAUUGAAUUCUCUCAUUCACUAAUUAAUUGUCCUUUUUAUAACUAAAACCCAACCAAUUUAAUUAUUAAUACAGGAUAAAAUGCUUAGCAUGGGAAGCCUAAAGUCAAAGUUCUCUCGUGACUCGGUAUCACUAAUUUCCUUAGUUGCUAAUUUAAAAUGCAUUAAUGUCUCUAUUCCAAAUAUUUUUAGUAAAAGUUUUUUCUGUACAAAUGUUAUUAGAAAAAUCUCUUAUAAAUGUUUCUUUAAAAAACACUAUAAGUGAUAUUUUAAUUUUUAAAAAAUAUUUUUUAAAAUUUAUCAAAUACCUAAAUUUUUUCAAAAACAUUCUUUAAACUAAAAAUACUUCUUAGAAUAAUUAUAUAUGAACUAUUAAUAAAGUCAUUCCUCACUACAAGUUAACACUCAUCUUAUAAAAUAUUUUAUACUAACAAAGGAUAUUACAAUGAUAAUUCACUUUACCAUCAAAUAAGGGAAAAAGAAAAAAAAAAGGGAAAAAGAAACCUCAAAUCAAUUAUUUAUGGAUGAUACAAUUAGCCCUUCAUCUCAUUCUCCUUACUCUAUUUUUUAGUUAAGAAUUAUACAAAUGACAAUUCUCUCUUCAAGUUAAGUAUUAAUUAACAAUCACACAUCCUUGCAAACUUCUAUUAAUUGUGGGCCUCCCAAAAUACAAGUUAAAUUUAACAAUCCACCAUAAAACCAAAUUACUAAAAUAUAUUUUAAUAAAUAUAUUAAUUCUAAUUAUUUUAUUUAAUUGAUUACAAAAAAAAUAUAAAAAUCUAUCAUUGUAAUUUUCUUAACAAGUAUUUUUUUUAUAUAUAAUUAAAUAUAAAAAAUAUAAAUAUUAAAAAAAAUUCAUAUAUAUAUCACCAUUUAUUUUACAUUAUUGAAUAUAUUUGAAUUAAAUAAAUUAUAAUUUUAACAUUAAAUAUAUUUCAAGUUAGAAUAUAUUAUCAUCAAUGUUAUAAUAUUAUUAUAAAAUAAUAUUUAAUGUAACUUCAUAAAAAAUAUACACUUACAAAAGGACGUGAUAUUAUUAUUGAAUAUGAAAAAUUAUAUAUAUAUAUAUAUAUCAAUUUCUUUAAUAAAAUAAUAUCAAUUAUUAUCAUUUUUUAUAUUUUUUUCUAACAUUUCUAUAAGUUUUAAUCAAUUUCCAUCUUAUCAAUCUUUUGUAUCAAAAUAUCAAUUAAUAUUUCUCAAUAUAUCCUCAGUAAAAUCUCAAGUUAUCAAUAUAUCUGUCAAAAUCGAUAUUUUCAUCAUUUCUUAUGAGUAACUUUUCAAAAAUUUCUCUCAAUUAAAUACUAACUUUUGACUAACUUCUCAAAAAAUUCUCCCACUUAACAAGUAGAUCUUAACCAUUCCCUUUGACAAUUUGAGCUACAAUUUUGGGAAAACUUUUCUAAUCCCUAAAUCUAACUUGUCAUUAAAAACCCGGGUUUUACACUACAAUACCGGAAAACCUCCAAUGUCAUUGUUAACCAAUCAGUAAUCUACUGUUGAGAGGUGAAGAUAAUUCGAGGUGACAAUAACUGCAAAAACUUCAAAAUGAAUAUCUCUAAAUUGAAUAUACAACUGAUCAACUGAUCUUGGAUUCUUUUGGUACAAAAACUUCUCAACUACAAUAUUGGAGUGGCGCCAUUUCCUUCGAGUGUCAUCAGUGAUCCUAGCUCACAAUUAUCCCACCUUUUGCAUUGCCUUGUGAAAUCUGGAAAUUUUCUCUUACAUCAAGAUGAGCCAUGAGAAGCCAGACAUGAGUGAGCAGCUCUCCGCCUCGCCUGAGCUGCUUGGCAUGCUGAUUCGGCCGACAUUGACUUGCAGCGUAACAUAGCAUCUCCACCCACACACCCCUCAUCAGCUCCCACUUAUGUUCCCGGGAUUGCAGAGACUUGGCCAGCCUGCAGGCAUCAAAUAGCAGAGACUUGCUUCUAUCACCUUUCACCUGUGAUGCUGGAAAUUCAGUGCUCACUCUCAGUAAAUCUUUGCAAGCUUGGGUUCUACUUUUUAUGUGCUUUCUAUCCUUGAAGAAUUCUUUAGCCUCGGCGCAGCUGUCUCGAUAUCUAAUCUCCCCAAUUCCGUCAGGCAGCAUGAAAGGGCACAUGACCAGAAGAUACAACAUAUAAUCAGAAAGCACCUUGCACGCUUUACAAUCUGGAUUCUUCUCUGCAUCAUUCUCAUAGCAGAGAUCAGUUGCACGCUGUGUUUUUGUUUUUGUUUUUACUUGACCACCGCUUAGUCCAAUCUGAGAAAAGCAGUACAAGAAUGGCAUAGAUCUCUAAAACAAUAGCUCCAACCAGCAACAAGUACGUUAUAAUAACAUCAAUAGUCGAGUACUCUUGCCUGUCAAUGGUCAAGAAGGCUAUGAAUGCAGAAAUGGUGAAACUCAAACUAAUCGAGCGGAGGAGGCUGCCCCAUCUAGAGCAAGUCACAGUUGCCUUUGUGUAGAGAACAUCGUACAUGAAUCCAAGCUCAAUCUCAACCACUUCAAAAGCCACUUUCAAAGCCACUUCCAAAGGCACUUCUUCCCAAGCUUGUUGUUUAUGUUUCCCCUGGAAGAAAGACUGGCUCCUUUUGCGCCUCUGGGAGCUAAGAAUGAUAUCUGCAAACAAACCCUUGAAAGUUUCGAAGAAGUAAUAAGCCUGUCGCAAAAUGUCUCCUUCUGGAGGAGAAUGCACUGUCCUAGAAGUUUUACCUCGUUGUUGUAUUGAAACUUGAUAUCCCUCGGCUUUUCCUGAAGUGUACUCAUCCAUGAAUUUGGGAUAAUUAGGCCCUGGAUCAGGACGAGGUAGCAGGGCAUCUCUGAAUUGCUCACUGCUUGCAGACCUUAGAACCCAGGUCCUUUCCCCAUACUUGAUGAGUCCAGCCACAAAAAUUGGAAUGGCCAGAAUAUUAAGCAGUUUGGCCUUCCAGGACCUAAGAAAAAUGUAAAAUGUCCCUCCAAACUGGAUGACUAGUGCAAGAAAGUGUCUUAACCAUAAUUCAUUAUCCUCCAAUGAAUAGGCUGUAAUGGUAUCCGGGCCGCCAAGGUGCAGCAGCAGAAAUGGUGCCCAAAAUGCCCAUAUCAAACUGUUUGGUUGUGAUAAGUUGUCAUCUCCAUUCUCAUUGGACAGGACGCCAAUACAGACUGCUGCAAUCCAAUCUGCAGCUAAAUAAGCCAGCCAAAUGAUGAUUCUGACCCAGUUACUAGCUAUAUAUUUCCUCCUGUUACCCAAGAGUAUGAGCACAAUUUGUAAGAAAAGGCUCAAUAAAACCAAUGCGCGGAGUUCCCAUUCAUUCCAAAGUUUUGUCACACUUUCUGGGAAGAGUUCCAUCGCUCUUCUCUUAUUUACGAGGAUCAUACUGCUAAGACCUGAAACUGUAAAUAUAUAUAUGCAUACACAUAUAAGUGGUUUGAUCAGUACAGAAGAUCUGAAUUAAAGCAGAUUGAUUAUGAAAAUAGCAGAGUUGGAUUGAUGAGCUCACCCGUAACUAGCAUGCUUCCUCCCUGAGUACAUCUAAGGAUCUGAUUUUAGUAGUUGAUGCUUCUACUUUAGAGCUGAUUUCAGCAGCCCAGGAAGCUAACAGAGAGGGACUUUCACACAACUCAUUUCUCAACUGGGUGGUGCACUUGAAAAAUAACAUUGAAGAAUUAAGUGCAUCAAACAUUUUGUUAAAAGAAAACAACAACAAAAAGACAACAAAAAUGAAAGAAAACCAAAUGCCAAACUGUAUGACUUGUGACAGAUGCUUGAAACUUGAAACUGUUCUUGCUUUUAUUUUUCUUUAGCAUAUAGGAAAUUUCAUUUAAGACCCAUGAACAAAAUGGUGUACAAGGUUAACAGGAAUUAUAACUUAUUUUUUUAGUUAGAUCUGAGUCCAUGUCAGUUGAAUUGUUUAAUAAUUGUCGUUGGUGAUUAAAAUCUUUGAAAUAUCCAAUUUUUUUUUUGUUUAAGAAUCGGAUUAGUCAUUGAAAAGGGAAAAUUAUUGGACAAUGAUUCAAUAGUCAGACCAUUGAACAUUAGUUGAACCAUACCAUUAGUGAUAAAUGUAUCAUUUAUAUAUAAUUAAAAUAAAAAAGAAUUAUAAGAAAUUAAAAAUGAUAAAUUCUACAUAUAAAGACACUAACAUAAUGUACACUAGCAUAACGAAGAGAACAAAUAGAAAUGAGUGCAAUUUUGAAAUUAUAAAAACUAAAUUAAAAUUUGAUUCGUUAUAAAAACAUUUGAUAACUAAUUUAAAAUUAUUUAAAAUUAAAACUAAAUUAUAAAAACUAAAUUGAUUCGUUAUAAUUAUAAAUUGAAAAGGGAAAUUAUAAAAACAUAAAAUUAAAAUUAUUAAUUUUAAUUAUAAAAACUAAAUUGAUUCGUUAUAAUAUUAAAUUUAAAAUUUGACAAUAUAAUCUAAUCUUAAUCAUUUGAUAACUAAUUUUUCUUUUAAAUUUAAAUUUAAUUCUUGAAAUUUUCACUCUUUAAAUGGGAGUAGUAAAAAUGUCAAACUUACGAAAUUUCCGAGGGAUUUUUCGUUUUUUUUUUUUUUUGGCAUUUUGCCCAUUUUAUUUUCCGUGAAUGCGGCCAAAGGGCACUUCCAUGCGCCCACAUCAAGAGGUUCAAAACUCGGGCAGGUGGAUAUGCAGAAACAUUAAUAUAUGGGAGAACUGUGUAAUUGAGGUAAGGUCCUCCCAUCACUCUUAAUUAAACUCGAAACCUAACGAAAUAGUAGAAAUUGAGAUGAAGGAUAUUUAUCUUUAAAAAAUCUCUAAAAUACCUUUGACUAUUAAAUGAAAAAACUAACCAAUCACCUCAUCUUUCUCAUCCUCUCUUUGACUUUUUUACCCUUCUCUCACCUAUUUAAUGGUAAAACCAACUUGAAUCAUUUUUCUUCAUCAAAUUGAAUAUGAAAGAUGGUUAAAAAUUAUUAUUGCCAAAUGCAUUUUUGAAGUGAAUAACUUUUAAAUACCUCAUCAAAUAUUAUUAUUUUUUCAAACUUACAUAAUAUAUAAUAAAUAUUUUUUAAAUAUGUUGAAAAAUUACAUAAUAUAUAAUAAAUAUUAUUCUUUAUUUCAAACUUAUAUUAUUUCUCAUAUAUAUUAAAUAAUUUUUAAACACCUCAUAAAAUAUUAGUAUUAUUUGUUUGUUCUAACUUGUAAAUUAGAUAUCAUCAAAUAUUAUAUUUUUUCAAAUUUAUAGAACAUAUAAUAAAUACUUUUUAAAUACCUCAUAAAAUAUUAUUAUUAUUAUUUUUUAACUUGCAAAUUAGACACAUGUGUUUAUUAUUUCUCAUAUUAUUUCGAAAAUAAUGUAAACACUCACACGCAUAUAAAUAAAUAAAUAUAUAUAUAUAAUAUUAAUCAAGAAAAUAAUAUUUUUAAAACUAAUUUACUAACCUUUCAAUAAUUUUGAAAGUGUAAAUAGAGUAAUUGGCCGAAUUAAAGUCUUCAAAAUAUUCAAAAUUUCUCUAUUCCAAAAUUGCCUAAUUGCUCUCCACACUAAUCCUAAAUAUUUUUUAAUAAAGAUUUAAAUAUUUAAAACCAAUAAAAUAAAUACUUUCUUAUUGAAGCAAUUUUUUCAAAGUAAUAAGAUAAAAAUCAUGAAAUCUUCAAAACUAUAAUUACAACAAAUAUUUUAAAAUUUAAAACUAAUUUCAUAAUUUAAAUUAAUGAUUUAAAAAAAUAAAAAUGUUAUAAAAAUAAUUAUUUUUAAUUUUUAAUUCUAUUUAAAUAUGAUUUUUUUACUCUCUAUUGAUAACAAUGAAACUAUGUUUAUAAAGGUAAAAUAGUAAAAAUAUAUAUUUCAUUUAAUUUACUUAUAAUGAACAAUUCAAACAUGAUUAAUUUUAAUUUUAUACCCUAUGUGUUAAUUUUUGUAGGGAAUGUCUUAAUGACAUAGUUUGGUAAAAAAAAAAACAAAAACUCUCAAUAAUCGUCUUAAUGUCAAACUCAAGUUGUUUAAAAAUCGUACAAAAUAUAUUAGGAGCCUUGUACACUCUUGUACACUUAGCACAUUUUCAUUGUACAGUUAAUGUAAUACCCUUGUACAAUGACAUGAAUUUCAUAUCUCUCUUAAGUUAUAUGUUCAUGUGGGUGUAUUAAGUAUAUUUUCAAUGGUUUGGUUGAGAAAAUGGUGGAUGACUUAGUGUACACUAGGAAGGAAGGGGAAAGAGUUUUUUGUUUUGUUUUGUUUUGUUUCUUUUUCUUUUUUUUUACCACUCCGAGAAUAAGCUGUUCUAGGGGGGUGAGAUGGAACUGGAACAAAAAAAAAAAAAACAACAAGGCAUGGGUGAACUUUUUGGGGCGACCAGAUGGGACGGGAAAAGGCUGGAAAAAAAAAAUGAAAAAGGAGAAAGAUAGCUUCAUAGGCCAUCGGUGAGGAGCCUUAGAGAGAGAAAUUGAAAAGGGAGUAGGGGGGAGCUUGUCAGUUCAAUAUGAUUUCAGCAUUCUCUAGUAUUUUCUCAUUUCAUACUUUUCUAUCCUGGUUCUUGCUGUUUUUUUUUUUUUAGUUCAUUUGCUGAUUGGUGUGGAUGUUAUAGGCCACUCGUUUGUUUUGUGAGACUCUUGGUAUGCUUGCUCUAUUUUUAGAUUUAUUUUUGGGUGUUUUUGGACUUCUCUUGAAAGUAUCUGAUGCUCUGUCCCUUCCCAUAACUUGAUGUAUCAAAACCAUGCCCUCGUUUCCUCUGGAUUCUAGUUGCUCAUAUCUCUUCGACAGUCCAUGGCGUAAAGCUAGGCUCAUACUUUGUUUUUAUUACGUUUUCAUUCUUCCAUGGUUUUUUGCUCUGUUUCUUGUCAAGGGUGGAUGACGCUCCUUCAGAUGGUGAGCUCUAUCGAGCUAAUGGACGUGGGGAUAACAUAAGGAUGCAUGCAUUACGGAAACCGGUCUUGCAACUCCAUCUACCAUUCCACAUCCUUCAAUCACCACACCCAUGUCUUCCUUCCUCAUAUCCUAAUACACCCAUCCCCAUUCAUACCUUUAUUUUCCUUUAACACCCAAUACCCACUUCACUCACCACCUUUCUCAUCUUCACAAACCCACUGCCCUCGAAGCAUUAGAUCGCCAUGGCGAAGGUGUUUGCGUUGUUUCUCUUGGCUCUUCUCGCCAUUUCCAUGCUUCACACCACUGUUUUGGCUUUGCAUGGCCAUGGCAGUCACCACUACGACCAAAAGAACUAUGGUCCGGGGAGUCUGAAGAGCUUCCAAUGCCCGUCACAAUGCUCAAGGAGGUGCAGCAAGACACAGUACCACAAACCUUGCAUGGUCUUAUGUCAGAAGCGCUGCAAAAAGUGCCUAUGCGUUCCCCCAGGGUAUUAUGGUAAUAAAGUCGUCUGCCCAUGCUACAACAACUGGAAGACCAAGGAAAGAGGACCAAAAUGCCCUUGAGCUGUUCCCUUAUUUACCCUUCUUACCCAUUUUAAGUUGGCCCAUUUGAUUGCUUUAAUUUUUAAGUAAUUUCCACGUUUCCAAUUUACGUAAUUUAAUUUUUAAAGCUCUAAUUUCUCAAUAAAUUUUCUAAAUUCCAAUUUCUAAAUCCUAUUUUCAAAACUUACGUCUUCCAGCAAUUCUUCAAAAUCCCAACUUUUAGAUUUAAUCUUCAAGGUUUCCAAUCUCACAUAAUUUUCCAAAAAUUUCCAAAUUCAAAAUUCAAUCCCUUAAGAAAUCUCAUUCCUCAAACAAUUUUUUUCAAGUUCUAAUUCUCAAAUUCAUUUUUUUUAAAAAAAAAAAAAAUCAAUUUUUAAGUAAUUCUUCAAAAUUCCAAUUUCUAAAUUUAGUUCUCAAUUUCUAAAAUUCCAAUUUUCCAAUUUCUAAAUUUAAUUUUCAAUUUCCAAAAUUCCAAUUUUCACAUUUCUUUAUUUAAUAAUUAUUAUUUUCGUUAUUAUUAUUAUUCUAUUUAUUUAUUUAUUUUUAAAUUUUCAUCCUUAAACAUUUUUUUAAAAAUUCCGAUUUCCAAAUUUAAUUUCCAACUUCCACAAUAAAAUUCCAUCCUUAAACAUUUUUUUAAAGUUCCGAUUUCCAAAUUUAAUUUCCAAUUUCCAGAAUUUUAAUUUUCACAUUUAUUUAUUUAAUUAUUAUUAUUUUUGUUAUUAUUAUUUUAUUUAUUUAUUUAUUUAUUUUUUAAAAUUUCAUCAUCAAAUAAUUUUCAAGAUUCCAAUUUUCAUAACUUAAUUUUCAAAACUCCAAUUCAUAAUUUAAUUUUCGAAGCUCCAAACUCUCAAAUAAUUUUCAAAAUUCCAACUUCUUUCAAAUAUAAUUUUUAAAAUUUCAAUUCUUAAAUCUAAUUUUCAGAACUCCAAUUUCUUUCAAAUAAUUUUCAAAACUUCAAUUUUCAAAUUUAAUUUUCCAAACUUUAAUUUUCAAAUUUAAUUUUUAAGAAAUCUCAUUCCCAAAUAAUUUCUCCAAGUUCCAAUUUUCUAAUUUAGUUCUUAAAACUUCAAUUUUCAAAUUAGUUUCAAAACUUAAUUUUCUAAAAUUUGUCUUUCAGAUAGUUUGAAUCUUUUAAAUUUAUUUAUUUGAUUUGUUUAUUCACCUAAUUUAAUUAUUUUAUUUAUUCAUCUUUCAUACAAUUAUUUAUUUAUUUAUUUUAUUAUUUUACUUUAUUUUAUUCGUUCAUUUAUUUAUUUGUCAUUAUUAUUAUUAUUAUUAUUAUUAUUAUUAUUAUUUUCUCCUUUCUUUCUUUUUCUUUUCUUCAUUAAAAUCCUGAUUCGCCAAAACCUAUUCUUUUUUUAAUAAACUUGUCAUUUCUUAUUCAGGCAUGCAUCUUGUGAUUUUAUUUGGUUUUUAAUAAUCUUUUUCGUUUUUCACUAUUUUUAAUAAGCGUGAAUGAAUUUUUUCAUAAUUUCAAAAUAAUGGAAUUUAUGAUAUUAAUUCAUGCAAAAUGAAUUAGGCUUUGCUGAGAGCCCUACAUAUGAAUUUUCUUUUUCUGAUUGUCAAUUGUUGUACUUAAUGAAUAUUGUUUGAUCUUUGUCUUGCUCGUUAAUAUGCAUGUAAUAAUUUUAUACUUGAGCUAACAUUGUUUCCAUGAUAGCACACUAUUGUUUGCUACUAAAGUACGACCUCACUCCCAUUUUGCUUAUUCUUAUACAUGAUUUGCUUUAUUAUUUGAUCAUUUCAUUGGUAUCCAUUAAUUUCUUCAUCAAUUGUCACACUUGCUUCACCUUAUUUAGUAGAGACCCAUUUUUAGGGGCUUAGAGGGGUGCUACGGUCUUUACCGUACCUUCCCAAUAGGUAACCUGACUCCCGAAUCUAGACUUGGUUUUUCACAGACCACCUUUUCCAAAUAAGGAGUCACACUUACGGUUUUCUUUCUUAUUUUGUUUACCCUUUAAAAAUAAAACAAAAAUAAGUGGCGACUCCAAGUUUUUUUCAACAAAAAUCAAAUUUUCACAAAAUAAAUAAAAAACAAGUCACGUCAUCGAGUGGAAACGCAUGAGCCAAAAUGCGGGGUCCACACUUAGGGUCAAUUUUUUUUCCCCAAAUAUCAUUAUUGGGAAAAAUAUGGAAUUUUCAUGUGAGAGUUAAAUAAAGUGCAUAACAUAAGUGUACAAUCCUUGGGUGAUAAGGAAAAUGAAAAGUGGUUUAGAAUCGAUUAAAAUCAUUAACAAAGGAUAAUCUUGUACACCUUUGUAUAAUUAGUACAUUUCCCUUAUACAGUUAGUGUAAUAUCCUUAUACAAUGGCACAAAUUUCAUAUCCCUCUAAAGUUAUGUGUCCACGUAGGAGUGUUUAACCAUAUUUCCAAUGGUUUAGUUGAGAAGAUGGUGAAUGACUUAAAGAUCAAAUUUUUUUUCCCCAAAUAUCAUUAUUGGGGAAAGUAUUGGAAUUUUCAUGCAGGAAUUAAAUAAAGUGCAUGACAUAUGUGUACAAUUCGUGAGUGAUAAGAAAAAUAAAAAAAUGACUCAUAAUCGAUUAUAAUAUUUCACAAAGGGUAGCCUUAUACACCUUUGUACACUUAGUACAUUUCCUUGUACAGUUAGUUAGUGUAAUACAAUUGUACAGUGGUGCAAUAAAUGAAUAAAUAAUUUUUUUUUUCAUACAAAAAAAUAGUACUAAAUAAGGUUUUCAAUUUUCAUUUUUUAAUUAAACGUAUUUUCAAAAAGAGACAAUAUAGAAAAUAAAAAUUAUUUUUAAAAAUAAAAAAUAAAAACUAGAAAAAAUAGUUUUUGUUUUCAUCUAAAAUAAGUAAAUAUACCUUUCAACCCUUUUAUAUAAGAAAAAUUUAAUCUCUAUUAUGUAUUGAUAUAAUUCACUUCUAAAAUUAGGUCAUAUGAAAACAUUUUAAUUGAGAACUUAAAAUAAAAACUCUUCAUCCAUCCUCUUUCCUUUUCUUUUUCUUAUUUUAAUAAAUUUUCAAUUAAUUCAAAUCAUUAAAAAAAAUCCUUAAUAAACAAAUUUGUAAUAUUUCAUGUAACUUAUUACUAAAAGUCAUGUUCAAAAAGUUAUUAAAAUGAGGAAGGAAGAAGAUUAAAAAAAAUUAAACUUUUUAUUUUAUAAUAGUAAAAAAAGACUUUAAAAUACUUUUUAAUAUAAAAAAAAUUAAAAUAGUGAAUAUAUUUAUUUUAAACAGUAUUUUAAUCAUUAAAUUAUUUACUUCUAAAAUGUAAAAGAUAAAAAUAAAUGUAAAAGAUAAUUUUUAUUUAUUUAAAUUAAUAUUUUUUUAGAAAGUAUUUUCCAAAAUAGUAUUUGAAUCAUUAAUAUAAUUUUUGUUUAUUUAUAAUUUAAAAAUAAAAAAUAAUAUUGAUUUUUCAAUUAUUUAUAAAAGAGUUUAAAAAAAUAAUACAAAAAAAUCCAAAUAUAGUUAAAUAAGAAAUAAUAGUGACAUGUGAAGAAUGGUAGAAUAAAGACAAAAAUGAGUCAAGUAGGUAUUUUUGUUAAUUACUAUCUCAUACCCUUACCAUCAAUUAUGGGUGAUUGGAUGAUCUUACCUUAAUUAUCAAGCCUAUAUGGGUUGAAAACACAAUUGUCCCUUAAUAUAUUACAAUCCACCAUAAAACCAAAAUACUAAAAAAAAUAAAAAUAAUAAUAAAUAUAUUAAUUCUAAUUAUUUUAUUUUAAAUUUUAUUUAAUUGAUUACAAAAGAUAUAUAAAAAUCUAUCAUUAUAAUUUUCUUUAGUCAAAACCACAUGAUAUUAUAGAAUAUGAAAAUAUAUAUAUAUAUAUAUAUAUAUAUAUUAAUUUCUUCAAUAAAAUAAUUUUAAAAUGUCAAUUAUUAUCAUUUUUUAUAUUUUCUUUUCUAAUAUUUCUAUAAGUUUUAAUCAAUUUUCAUCUAAUCAAUAUUUUGUAUCAAAAUAUCAAUUAAUAUUUCCCAAUAUAUCCUUUGUAAAAUCUCGAAUUACCAAUACAUCUAUCAAAAUUGAUAUUUUCAUCAUUUCUUAUGACUAACUUUUUCAAAAAUUUCUCUCAAUUAAAUAUUAACUUUUGGCUAACUUCUCAAAAAUUUCUCCCACAAGUAAAUCUUAAUCAUUCCCUUUGACAAUUUGAGCUAAAAUUUUGGGAAAACUUUUCUAAUCCCUAAACCUAACUUGUCAUUAAAAACCCGGGUUUUACACUACAAUACUGGAAAACCUCCGAUGUCAUUGUUAAUCAAUCAGUAAUCUAUUGUUGAGAGGUGAAGAUAAUUCGAGGCGACAAUGAUUGCAAAAACUUCAAAAUGAAUAUCUCUAAAUUGAAAAUACAACUGAUCAACUGAUCUUGGAUUCUUUUGGUACAAAAACUUCUCAACUACAAUAUUGGAGUGGCGCCAUUUCCUUCGAGUGUCAUCAGUGAUCCUAGCUCACAAUUAUCCCACCUUUUGCAUUGCCUUGUGAAAUCUGGAAAUUUUCUCUUACAUCAAGAUGAGCCAUGAGAAGCCAGACAUGAGUGAGCAGCUCUCCGCCUCGCCUGAGCUGCUUGGCAUGCUGAUUCGGCCGACAUUGACUUGCAGCGUAACAUAGCAUCUCCACCCACACACCCCGCAUCAGCUCCCAUUUAUGUUCCCGGGAUUGCAGAGACUUGGCCAGCCUGCAGGCAUCAAAUAGCAGAGACUUGCUUCUAUCACCUUUCACCUGUGAUGCUGGAAAUUCAGUGCUCACUCUCAGUAAAUCUUUGCAAGCUUGGGUUCUACUUUUUAUGUGCUUUCUAUCCUUGAAGAAUUCUUUAGCCUCGGCGCAGCUGUCUCGAUAUCUAAUCUCCCCAAUUCCGUCAGGCAGCAUGAAAGGGCACAUGACCAGAAGAUACAACAUAUAAUCAGAAAGCACCUUGCACGCUUUACAAUCUGGAUUCUUCUCUGCAUCAUUCUCAUAGCAGAGAUCAGUUGCAAUGUGCCAGAGAAGAAUGCUAUGACUGAAGUCUUCGUUAUUGCUCAAACCUAAUUUCUCUAGCAGCACCAGAUCACCCCGACCAGUGCAUAAUUGCUUACCGGCCUCAAUAUCUGAGGCACUCUUUGAUAUUUCUACAAGGUAUUCAAAGAUCAAUUUUUUCAUUUCUUCAGAGAAAACAGCUAAAUUCUUGUGAUAAUACUUCUCAAAUAUUUGAUAAAUGUGGAACUUCUGGAGUACACGGACUUUAAUUGGCCUCGGUUUAAGGCAGAAAUCUAUUAGAUUGUAUUGUGCCAUGGUUUUAGACCACCUCUGAUUCGUCGGGAAUAGAAAACGCAAUUGGAAGCGAGAGAUGGCUUUAAUGAUGAGCUGCACCGCUGUGUUUUUGUUUUUACUUGACCACCGCUUAGUCCAAUCUGAGAAAAGCAGUACAAGAAUGGCAUAGAUCUCUAGAACAAUAGCUCCAACCAGCAACAAGUACGUUAUAAUCACAUCAAUAGUUGAGUACUCUUGCCUGUCAAUGGUCAAGAAGGCUAUGAAUGCAGAAAUGGUGAAACUCAAACUAAUCGAGCGGAGGAGGCUGCCCCAUCUAGAGCAAGUCACAGUUGCCUUUGUGUAGAGAACAUCGUACAUGAAUCCAAGCUCAAUCUCAACCACUUCAAAAGCCACUUUCAAAGUCACUUCCAAAACUUGUUCAGAAUGUUUCCCCUGGAAGAAAGACUGGCUCCUUUUGCGCCUCUGGGAGCUAAGAAUGAUAUCUGCAAACAAACCCUUGAAAGUUUCGAAGAAGUAAUAAGCCUGCUGCAAAAUGUCUCCUUCUGGAGGAGAAUGCACUGUCCUAGAAGUUUUACCUCGUUGUUGUAUUGAAACUUGAUAUCCCUCGGCUUUUCCUGAAGUAUACUCAUCCAUGAAUUUGGGAUAAUUAGGCCCUGGAUCAGGACGAGGUAGCAGGGCAUCUCUGAAUUGCUCACUGCUUGCAGACCUUAGAACCCAGGUCCUUUCCCCAUACUUGAUGAGUCCUGCCACAAAAAUUGGAAUGGCCAGAAUAUUAAGCAGUUUGGACUUCCAGGACCUAAGAAAAAUGUAAAAUGUCCCUCCAAACUGGAUGACUAGCGCAAGAAAGUGUCUUAACCAUAAUUCAUUAUCCUCUAAUGAAUAGGCUGUAAUAGUAUCCGGACCGCCAAGGUGCAGCAGCAGAAAUGGUGCCCAAAAUGCCCAUAUCAAACUGUUUGGUUGUGAUGAGUUGUCAUCUCCAUUCUCAUUGGACAGGACGCCAAUACAGACUGCUGCAAUCCAAUCUGCAGCUAAA